UGGGGACUAAGUUUAGUUGGUUCCAUUGGGUAACAGCCAGUGGAGGUAACGGGGAAAAGCUGGUGCAAAGCCAAUACUGUCCCGCAACUGUGAUGGGCCCAGGCCCUAAGUCAGGAUGCCCGCCAACGAUGGCCGAUUCCG
rnacentral:ncRNA from 2 species